rnacentral:rRNA from 1 species
UACGUAGGUGGCAAGCGUUGUCCGGAAUCACUGGGCGUAAAGCGCGCGCAGGCGGCGAUCUACGUCUGGGGUGAAAGCCCGGAGCUCAACUCCGGGACUGCCUUGGAUACGGGAUCGCUUGAGGAUUGGAGAGGCAAGGGGAAUUCCACGUGUAGCGGUGAAAUGCGUGGAGAUGUGGAGGAACACCUGUGGCGAAGGCGCCUUGCUGGCCAAUUACUGACGCUGAGGCGCGAAAGCGUGGGGAGCAAACAGG